CCUACGGGAGGCAGCAGUGAGGAAUAUUGGUCAAUGGGCGGAAGCCUGAACCAGCCAAGUAGCGUGCAGGAUGACGGCCCUACGGGUUGUAAACUGCUUUUAUACGGGAAUAACGCGCCUUACGUGUAGGGCUUUUCAUGUACCGUAUGAAUAAGGACCGGCUAAUUCCGUGCCAGCAGGCGGGGUAAUACGGAAGGACCGGGCGUUACCCGGAUUUAUUGGGUUUAAAGGGAGCGUAGGCCGCAUGUCAAGCGUGCUGUGAAAUGUCCGGGCUCAACCCGGGCCUUGCAGCGCGAACUGGCGUGCUUGAGUGCGCGGAAAGCAGGCGGAAUUCGUGGUGUAGCGGUGAAAUGCUUAGAUAUGACGAAGAACCCCGAUUGCGAAGGCAGCUUGCUGCAGCCGAACUGACGCUGAUGCUCGAAAGCGUGGGUAUCGAACAGGAUUAGAUACCCUAGUAGUC
rnacentral:rRNA from 1 species